rnacentral:pre_miRNA from 1 species
AGCCUUCUGUAUCCGGGCUGAGAUUUCGUCAGCGACCAACCCCUUGGUGUUGGCUGAUGCAACUACCCAAAUAAGUGAAGCG